rnacentral:lncRNA from 1 species
AUUAGUAAUUUUCAUACUUAGUCCAGUUGAUGUGGACGACAACAUUUCAUCUCAAGACCUUAUUCAGGUAAAUUUCUACUUGUCGCCUUCAGUUGUUAUCGACUAUUAUGUUUUUGACUGGUGAAACUCGUAUAAUAACUUUGCUUUAGUUGGUAGUUUGCACAAAGUUAUUCCAGGAAUGGCACUGUAAGGCUUCAAGAAAUACAAACUGCACUUAAGGAGCUUUAAUCUGCUCACAAGGUUCGUAUGAUUUGCGCUUAGGUUAUUCUAGGGGUACAUAAAGGGGGACAUAACGGUGUCCACUGGACGGGUGCUGAGUAUCAUCCAUUUUGGACACCCUUAUGUAAACGGUUAUGUACCCCUAGAAUAAUUCUUUGCGCAUAUUCAAAGUCUAGACUCAUUUCCGCCAUUCAGUUAUUAUCUUCCAUGUUGCUGAAUAAUUAUCUGGUCCUAUAGUCUCCUAAAUUCUUUCUGAUUCUGUUAAAUAUAUUGUACUCUCUGUUAUAUUUACUAUUAGUGCGAGAUUGCUGCUAAAUUAAUGUUCUAUUGGUAACUGAAGGUCCUGGAU